rnacentral:rRNA from 1 species
AGUUUGAUCAUGGCUCAGAUUGAACGCUGGCGGCAGGCCUAACACAUGCAAGUCGAGCGGUAGAGAGAAGCUUGCUUCUCUUGAGAGCGGCGGACGGUGAGUAAUACCUAGGAAUCUGCCUGGAUAGUGGGGGAUAACGUUCGGAAACGGACGCUAAUACCGCAUACGUCCUACGGGAGAAAGCAGGGGACCUUCGGGCCUUGCGCUAUAAGAUGAGCCUAGGUCGGAUUAGCUAGUUGGUGAGGUAAUGGCUCACCAAGGCUACGAUCCGUAACUGGUCUGAGAGGAUGAUCAGUCACACUGGAACUGAGACACGGUCCAGACUCCUACGGGAGGCAGCAGUGGGGAAUAUUGGACAAUGGGCGAAAGCCUGAUCCAGCCAUGCCGCGUGUGUGAAGAAGGUCUUCGGAUUGUAAAGCACUUUAAGUUGGGAGGAAGGGCAUUAACCUAAUACGUUAGUGUCUUGACGUUACCGACAGAAUAAGCACCGGCUAACUCUGUG